CGGAUAGACCAUUAUCGCUUCUUGGUUUAAUGAUGCAGCAGUUGUUUUGCUGACUCAAUCUAUAUUUUCAUAAAAAUCCAUAGCUAAAUUGCCAACAUAUGCAGCUAUCUAGAACCUAGUUUUAGUAUAAGUCGGUUGAUCUCCUUCCCUCCUCUAAUUGCACCAGCUAGCAACAAAGCAAGCAAUGAUAACUAAAUGAA
rnacentral:lncRNA from 1 species